CGCCCUGAUGGCGAUCGGCGAGGCUGGGGAGCGGCCGCGGCACGGCAGGGACGGGCAGAGGAGUGCAGGAGUCAUUGAACAGUGAAUAGAGGUACUUGCUGCAUCCCUAGUAAGACCUGCAGUAUGCAGAGGUGUGGGAAGGUCAAUUACUUCUCUCCGCAUGAUGCCCUCAAAGGGAUCUGUGCUUCUUAUCUCAAUUAACUCACACAGAAAUGGAUUUGCCAGGCAAGUGAUAGAGGCUGCUUCCUAUUCCUUCUAAGUGUGACUGAACUAGAAAGAAAACUUCUGUUAAUGUCUUUGGGUGCAGUGCUGAACUCUUGAAUGAAAAAAAUGAGCAAAGCAUAGGCGAUGGAGCAGCUCAGGGAUAGGGGUGUAUUCUGCAUGGCAGCAGGACUGUAGCUGUGUAGCUGUGGGUGCCUGCUGGAGCCAUUACUCAUCCUGCAUGCCUUUCACAUCUUGGAGGCAUUUCAUGGUUUUUAUUUAGCCCUUGCAUGACCACAGUUCAGUUCAGCAGCUGCAUAACACCGCUGUCUAAAACAGGAUAUUAUGGACAGGUGUCCUGAAAAACUGGAGUUUGUUCUUAAUUUCUCUGUUGCAAUAUGUUCCAGCAAGGUCAAAGCCUGAGCAAUCUGCAUGCUGAGCCAACCUCUUACGAUCUGCUUUUUGUUUUUGACCAAGAGAUUACAAGGUGCAAAGACAGUGUUAAGGUGAGAUGUGCUCACCAAAUCGUUGCUGAUUUGCAUUUGGUGUAAGACUUCAAACACUGCCAGCCUUUUAUGUAGGUCAUGUCUUUGUUUUUGUGUCAUUGCAUGCUUGGGGCACUACAAGACAAAAAAACAGGUACUGUGAUUUUAUCUUUUUCCUCUACCCUCCUUUGCCCUAGGUACGUGACCUAGAUUAGUUUGCAAGCAAAAAUUAUGGAGCUCACAAAUGGGAAAGCUGCAGGUAGUCUACGCUUACUGCCUUUAUGGAAACACAGACCUAAAGUUCUCCAAAGGGGCUCACAAAUCCACAUGGGGUUCCUAAAUGCUGCAUCCUGCAUUCGGGUCAUUGGUUAGCUGAAAACAGUUCUGAAGUCACGUACAGGCAAGCAGUUUCCUUUUGGCUAGGUAGUAAAGAAAUAUCAUUGAUGUGUUUAUUCCAAGCUUUGUAAGGGAUAUAAAAGAAGAGCUCACCCAGAUGUGCUUAUUUGCCAGCUAUGAAGAAGAUCUGCACAGGAGUGAGGGACAUAGUAACAGCCCUUGAAGGACAGUGUCCUCUCCUUUUGUGGAGCCCACCAAGUGAUUGGUCCUCACACUGCUGCCAUAACCAAGGAGCUCCUCUGCAGUCUUGAUCACUGGUCAGCCUGGCAUGCACUGCGGUAACAUAUGAACCUGCCCCCAUCCUUGCUCAGCUCCAUCACAUGCACUGCAGGUAGCCCCUGCAGCCCAGCUGGACUCAGCAGGGCCCUGAGGAAUGAAUCCAUGCAGGUUGGUUGCUCUCCAUAGUCAUGCCUGCCCUUUAUCCUUCAGCAGGAACUGAAGGGUGAUUGUUUAGAGAAUCUUUUGCAAAGCAGGGUGUGAUUGCCUGUAGCUGAGACUUGAUUUCCAGAAAGGGGAAGGUGCUCCAGAGCUCUCUUGCAAGCCUGUAUCUAAACCUCAUUCAUGAGAGAAGCCUGGGAGACUUUGCUCCAGUUUCACAAUGAGGACAAAACACACAACAACCAUUUUUCAGGGAGGGAACAAAAUUAAGUGGGGAGGAAUUGACAGCCCAGGAGCCUGGAUGUAGUGCUAGACUUUAUCCAGCCCUAGUUAGCAUAUAAAAACACAAGGUAUGUAACUGAGACAGCAUACAGCAAACUUUUAAAAGUGGCUGCUCUCACAAACAUUUCUGAUGUGCCAAACUGCUGAUGACUUCAAAGGCAACAUCUCAUACGCCACCAUACAAGAAAGCAAACUUUCCAGGGCUGUAGGAUAUGUCCUUCACCCAACAGCAGCACAAUGUUCUGCAUUCUGCAGGCCUACGUCAUGCUCUCACCCUGCUGUCCCCUGCCCCUGUGGUUUGCUUCAGCUGUGGAAACAGGAACUGCUGAGUCAGCGUGCUGGUGAAACUCACACUGCUCUCAUGGGGAGAGGGCUGCAGCGAGGGGGCUGGCAGCAGCUCACAGCCUGCAGGAAAACAAGUACUUACAUUCUCUUACGGUGGCCUGAAAAAAUAAAUAAUCCCUUUGCUUAAAAACUCUCAGACUGCAAAGAGGUAGCAGAACCCGAAGUGUAAGUGUGGGGGGAAUGAUCAGAUCUGGCAGAUGCCUGCUCACAAUCAAGCAUUUAGAGUUUGGGAAAUGUCAUUUUUCUGUUUGCUCUGUUAACAGCUCAGUUAUGCUUUGAGCAGCCAAGAUGCAGCUGGCUGAACAGACAGAACAAGGCCACCACAUUUGACUCAUCUGCCUGGUGCCGAUAGAGAGCCGCAGCCCGUUCUGAUUACGGACUCAUGCAGAGGUGAAAUUACUCCCUUGGAACCAGUACAAGGUGCACCACAAGUGGAAGAAGCUGCUGGAAUCCAUCUGGAGUAGACUGCUAAUCGGGAGUGCUUUGAGGUGACUUGUAAGCAAAGGCAAUGCCGUGACAGCCUUCAGAAGCCACGGCCUUUGAUUUAUUUUGGGAAUGCGACUUCUGAAAUCCUCUGAAAGUGAUAUCAGUAAAGUCUAGAUGACACAAACAGCUGGCUCCACUUCCGAUGGGAGCACUUGCCAGUAACCGAAGACCCUCCUUGUAUGCGCAGAAGGAAGCAGAGCCCAGAGGCACUGAAACCAUGCCAGCCCUGCUGAAGGUAGCACUUGAUCUGCAGAGGAGCCACCGGGAACAUGAGACUCCAACCGGAGCCAUUUACACGCUGCUGGAACGUGGCCACAGGAACAAACACUGUGGUGUAAAUUCUGCCUGGGUGAAGGAGAGGCCGGAUUAUUGUCCCACAGAGGUCCCUUCCCACCUGCAGCCUGUCACCACUGGGCAUCCGCUGCUAAACAGCAAUAAGAAAGGUGAAGAGCUGAUCCUGAGUUAUCCAUUUAAAAGCUGUGCGAGCUGCAAAAAUUGAAAUGAAAGAGGGGGUUAAUUGCACUGAACGUGCUCAGAGGAGGCAGAGCUAGGCUUUCCUGUGGAAAACUGCCAUAUGUGACUCUGCACGCAUUUAUCCUUCCUUUGACUUGUAGUGUGGAACAAGUCAGUAAUCACAGCAGCUCAUGAUGUGUUGUCUCACUUGCAGGGACUGCUUGUAGCAUACAUGGAUUGACACAAAUCCUUAUCAAAACUGGAAUUAUUAUCUGCAAGUCACACUUCAGGUUUCUCAAAUAAAACUACGUUUGAAUUCUGCAGCUGUGCUACCUUCUGGCUUUUCAGAAGCAAGGAAGGCCACUUAUCCCUGUGGGAAGAUGCCCAAGCAGAGGACAGGAGGAAUGUGUUAUGGAAUUGCUUACAGUUCUGGUUACAGUUCUGCUUACAAACUGCUUUGCUACUUGUGCGCCAUCUCUGUGGCUUCACACACCCUGUUAAGAAAACCACUUUUCUUUC